CGGAGCUAACGCGUUAAGUAGACCGCCUGGGGAGUACGGCCGCAAGGUUAAAACUCAAAUGAAUUGACGGGGGCCCGCACAAGCGGUGGAGCAUGUGGUUUAAUUCGAUGCAACGCGAAGAACCUUACCUGGUCUUGACAUCCACAGAAUUCUGCAGAGAUGCGGAAGUGCCUUCGGGAACYGUGAGACAGGUGCUGCAUGGCUGUCGUCAGCUCGUGUUGUGAAAUGUUGGGUUAAGUCCCGCAACGAGCGCAACCCUUAUCCUUUGUUGCCAGCGGUCCGGCCGGGAACUCAAAGGAGACUGCCAGUGAUAAACUGGAGGAAGGUGGGGAUGACGUCAAGUCAUCAUGGCCCUUACGACCAGGGCUACACACGUGCUACAAUGGCGCAUACAAAGAGAAGCGACCUCGCGAGAGCAAGCGGACCUCAU
rnacentral:rRNA from 1 species